rnacentral:tRNA from 1 species
AAAAGGUUAGUUAAAUUAAUAUUAGCAUGUCACGCUAAAGUUAGGGGUUUAUCCCCCUACCUUUUA